GGAGAGGUACCGAAGUGGCCGUAACGGGGUCGACUCGGCAUCGAUUUGUCUUGUGAAUAGCAGGACACGUGGGUUCCCCACCCUCUCCGCCA
rnacentral:tRNA from 1 species